CUCUAGCACAAGAUAUGAGAAGAGUACAUGUGAUACAUUUAUUCACUGGACUGUAAAAUGAAUGACCAGGAGCUAACUGUGGGUAAACUCAGAAGUCGAAGGAGCUAGUUGCCUGGGGACUUGACGGUAUAUCUUUUUUGAAAUCACAUAACCCACAAGAGGCCCUAGUAUGCAGAUGAGGAUGUGACAGUGAUUUUGGAGUUGCCUUCAACUUUGGGGGAACAGAAGAAACUGAAGCACAAAACAAACUUAGAGAAGCUGAAAGAAGCUAAAGUAUUUAAAAACAUAUUAAAUGGGAAUCACUUCUUACCUUGAAAUGUUCUCAAAUGUCAUAGCACAAGAGAACCGCGGUGGCAUUGUGAAUAUAAGACCAAAAGAAGAUGGCAGCAACAGACCAUGGAACACGUCUGUACUGUUUUCCAGUCUCCACGGCCACCACCUGCCUCCACAGGCACCACCUAAGGAUUCUCAGAGCUGCAGGAAUGAGAGUUUUUUCAACUUUUAUCCUCAUGGUGACUCCCCAUGCAGUUUCUUGAGGGCUGUGGUAAACCAUUUCUCUGUAAUAAAAAUACCCAUGAUACUCUUUUCUCUACUGCCUCUUUGAAAUGUAAGAUGGCAGUAUUUAAAAAAAAAAGAUGGCAGUAUUAAAAUUGCUUAUAUUGAAUGUACUGUCAUUUCCAAAAUUCUUCACAUGGUCAAAUAAAAAUAUUCUCUUUGAAUAUGCA
ensembl:lncRNA